rnacentral:rRNA from 1 species
AAUAGAUACCCCAGGUAGUCCACGCCGUAAACGAUGAGUGCUAAGUGUUGGGGGGUUUCCGCCCCUCAGUGCUGCAGCUAACGCAUUAAGCACUCCGCCUGGGGAGUACGGUCGCAAGACUGAAACUCAAAGGAAUUGACGGGGGCCCGCACAAGCGGUGGAGCAUGUGGUUUAAUUCGAAGCAACGCGAAGAACCUUACCAGGUCUUGACAUCCCGGUGACCACUAUGGAGACAUAGUUUCCCCUUCGGGGGCAACGGUGACAGGUGGUGCAUGGUUGUCGUCAGCUCGUGUCGUGAGAUGUUGGGUUAAGUCCCGCAACGAGCGCAACCCUUAUUCUUAGUUGCCAUCAUUCAGUUGGGCACUCUAAGGAGACUGCCGGUGAUAAACCGGAGGAAGGUGGGGAUGACGUCAAAUCAUCAUGCCCCUUAUGACCUGGGCUACACACGUGCUACAAUGGACGGUACAAACGGUUGCCAACCCGCGAGGGGGAGCUAAUCCGAUAAAACCGUUCUCAGUUCGGAUUGUAGGCUGCAACUCGCCUAC